GGGGGAUGGGGGAAUGUUUUUGGAGACGGGUUCAGAAUCUCCAGUUACCAACAUUUCUGAGACAGGUCCAGAGGAGAUGGACACGAAUUGUACAGUCUCCAGUGGGAGGGGAGGAGGAGACAGAGGACGGCCAGAGGAGAUGGCUGUGCCAGACACCCCUUCCCAGUUCUGGAGCCACCCUUGGGGCUGUCUCUGCUGUCCCUCGAAUAGGGCCUUGGAAGAUGGCCCUACUCACUCCCCUGCAGCCACAGUCACUGCCGGUGCCUCCAUGCCUUGGCCCCGCAAGUGUCCCUGGUCCCUGCACAGCUCGGGGAGUGGCAGAGUCCAGCCCUACUGCAGACGCUCAUAGAUGCGGGAAGGCCGCUUCCAUCAGAAGGGAGACACCUGCAGUGCCCGCACCCACAAUCCGGGCUCCUUUGGUCAUUGCCAGAGCCGUGCCUUUGAAAGUAACCUCUUCCUGCUGGCUGCUUUGGACUGGGAUUACUCCACUGGUGAUGAAGACGUUUGCAUCCGCUGCUAAGGCACGGUUGCUUUUGACCGUCUCCAUGGCACGGGGAAAGGAUUUUUCCAUUUGGAGGUGAAGCUGUUGGAGUCACAGGGUCUGGAGAAAAACUGAGGAAGCUAUAGGAAGAGACAAACCAAAACCGGAUAGAUCCAGCUGGAACCAAGGUGGCAAGGUAUCUGACCUCACCAGACCCUCAGUCUCAUUCUAGGCUGAUUUUACUACAUUAGCUACUAGAUGACACACCUACGGAUGACCAUGACCGGAAGGUGCAGACCAAAAAAGGAUCAAAAGGACGUGGCACCCCAUUUCCAGAAAAUCCUGACCACUUCCAGCAGAGUCUGGAAAGCACCCGAUAAAUGAAUGUUUUCAUGUUUUGGCAGUGAAACAAACAAAUAUUCACAUUAAAUGGGAAAAAGUCUGUAAUGACUAUAAAUAAGCUCAGGUCAGUACAGGACAAGAUUACUGCCCAGGUGAGUUACCAAAC
rnacentral:lncRNA from 1 species